CGCACGGGUGAGUAACACGUAUCCAACCUGCCGUCUACUCUUGGACAGCCUUCUGAAAGGAAGAUUAAUACAAGAUGGCAUCAUGAGUCCGCAUGUUCACAUGAUUAAGGUAUUCCGGUAGACGAUGGGGAUGCGUUCCAUUAGAUAGUAGGCGGGGUAACGGCCCACCUAGUCUUCGAUGGAUAGGGGUUCUGAGAGGAAGGUCCCCCACAUUGGAACUGAGACACGGUCCAA
rnacentral:rRNA from 1 species